AAACAUGGUCAUGUGACAGACAUCAUCGCUCUGCUUCUGACUUUAAAUGUAAGGCGCUUACAGAAGUUUGAUUUAUUAUGUUGAAUGUAACACGCUCCGUUUUAAAAGGAAUUCCGUUCGCAUUAUAAAGUCAGAUACUCAAACUUUUUUUUACUUAAGUACUGUGUUGUUUAGCUGGUUUUUUUUCAACAUUUUGUAACUAGAUAGAAUGAGCAUCAAUAGCAAUGAAAGCGGUGACCUUCCAAACUAUGGCACUACCCCGAACAUCGGAGAUGACGAAGCAACCCCUUUAUUAGGGAAUGCGUCAGAAGCGCCCAGGGUCAAAGGAACACCCUUCGCUGCCUGCGUGUUCAACCUGAUGAGCGCCAUCAUGGGCAGUGGAAUCCUGGGGUUGGCGUUCGCUAUGGCUAACACUGGCAUAGUGGGUUUCUGUAUUCUGUUGCUGCUGGUGACCGGCCUAGCGGGCUUCUCUAUACAUCUGCUCCUCCAGCUCUGUGACCAGACAGGUAUCAAUUCGUAUGAAGAUCUAGGAGAAAAAGCUUUAAAAAAGCCUGGGAAAAUUCUGGUUGGACUCAGCAUUCUGGCCCAAAACAUUGGAGCGAUGACGUCGUACAUGUUCAUCCUGAAGUCGGAGCUUCCGGCCACCAUUAGCAGCUUCCUAAGCCCUGGCAGUACGAUGGGUGCCUGGUAUGAAGAUGGCCGUAUCCUGCUGAUCCUGGUGACCGUGUUUGUCGUGCUGCCACUCGCGUUGCUAACCAGAAUAGGGUGGCUGAGCUACACCAGCAGCAUUUCGUUCUUCUUCAUGCUGUACUUCAUGGUCGUGGUCAUCGUCAAGAAGUUCACCAUCCCCUGCCCCCUCCACCAGAACGGCACCAUGGGAAACGACCGGUUCCAGAUCUCAAACAGCUCGGCAUCAGAAUGUACUCCAAAAGCCUUCGUCAUCUCCAGAAAGAGUGCUUAUGCCCUCCCCAUCAUGGCCUUCUCCUUCCUCUGCCACACGGCUGUCCUGCCCAUCUACUGCGAACUCGACCGGCCCACCAAGAAGAGGAUGCAGCAAGUGACCAACACCGGCCUCUGCCUCAGCUGCAUGAUCUACCUGCUCUCCGCCCUGUUCGGCUACCUCACCUUCUACAGCCACGUGGACUCUGAGCUGCUGCUGAACUACGACACCUCGGCCCCCCGGGACCCCAUGGUGAUGAUCGUCAGGCUGACCAUCCAGGGGACGGUGCUGUUCACCGUGCCCCUCCUCCACUUCCCUGCCCGUAAGUCGCUGAUCACCUUGCUGUUCGAUGGCCGGCCCUUCUCCUGGCUGCGCCACGUCUCGGUGACCGUGGGCAUCCUGGUGGUGGCGCUGAUGGCCACCAUCCUCCUCCCUGACUUCAGGAGCAUCUUCGGCGUUGUGGGGUCCACCACGUCCACCUGCCUCCUGUUCGUCUAUCCUGGGAUAUUCUUCCUCAAGCUCAGCAAACGACCUCUUCGCUCCGCUGAGUCCGUGGGUGUGAGUACUCAUCUCUCACCUGAUUGGUUGUUAAACGGCAUCCUCACAAUACCAGUCUGGACAUCUUUAAGUCAGCCUCACACAGGCUCCCGACAUGGAAAUACAGUCUGCUCAUUUACCUAGAGAAUAAUUACACAUCGAUAGCAGGAUCGAAUGUAUAAUGCAUAUUUGUAUAUUUUCUAUUUUAUAUUAAAUGAUAUGUAUAGUAAAACAAUAAAUGUAUUCAUCAUGUUUUUUUAGAAUUCCAGGCAUUGUCUCUAGUGCUGUGAGUUACCUGCACGACACUAUGUGUUUGUGACGGCGUCUCAGACUUCAGACGAUGAGGCCGUGAUACUGCUGGUCUCCGGGUUGUUUGUGGGGACGACCAGCCUGUGUAUGAUCAUCGUCACCUGGGUGCAGGGCAGCUGAGCGCACACACACACACACGCACACGCACAAACACUUUAAUCAACAAACAGAGGGAAACUGUGCAAUCAUCUUUUAGAUGUAAUCAAGUCGAUCAUUGUCAUGUAUUGAAAUCCUCAAAUGUUUUUAUACUUUGAAACCCCGGAGGAUAUUCUUUUAUAACUUGGAAAACUUUUACAAAAUGUGCUUGAAAUUUUGCUAAUGCAGUACAUGAAUGUUAUUUAAUGACUGUUGGCCAGUAAUCUUUGUUUAAUUCAGUUAAUAGGCCUGAUAUUUUAAGCUCUACAGUGUAAUUAUAAUUAUAUGCAUUGUAAAUGAGGUUGCGUAUUUAAAGGAAAUGUUUUCAUUGUUUUUUUUGUAAUGAGAGGGAGAUCACCCGGUUUGGGAAACCAACUAGAAGGUUCUUGUUUCACCGUAAACAGGAGUGCUUUCUGAUUAUCUCAAAUGUUGCCCAAAUUUGCACCACUCUGUCCUCCACUUGCACCAAGUCACUGUUACUGUUUUUGUUGUCAUUUUCGUUCUGGCCAGAAUUAUGAUAUUUUGAUGCAAUCUUUAGGGACAUUGUAUCCAAAACUCUCAGGUCCACAUUUUAUAGAAAAACACGUAAAACACUCUGUAGUGAAUGUCCUGUAAAUACCAAAGACCGAUUUAGAGGCAGGAUGAAUCGAAUAUCUUCUGUUGUCUCAUGUCGAAUCUUAAUAAAGGGAAGUAUCUUUUAAAGGU